rnacentral:rRNA from 1 species
AGGACGAACGCUGGCGGCGUGCUUAACACAUGCAAGUCGAGCGGUAAGGCCUUUCGGGGUACACGAGCGGCGAACGGGUGAGUAACACGUGGGUGAUCUGCCCUGCACUCUGGGAUAAGCCUGGGAAACUGGGUCUAAUACCGGAUAUGACCUGCUCUCGCAUGGGGGGUGGGUGGAAAGAUUUAUCGGUGCAGGAUGGGCCCGCGGCCUAUCAGCUUGUUGGUGGGGUAAUGGCCUACCAAGGCGACGACGGGUAGCCGACCUGAGAGGGUGACCGGCCACACUGGGACUGAGACACGGCCCAGACUCCUACGGGAGGCAGCAGUGGGGAAUAUUGCACAAUGGGCGAAAGCCUGAUGCAGCGACGCCGCGUGAGGAUGAAGGCCUUCGGGUUGUAAACCUCUUCAGCAGGACGAAGCGCAAGUGACGGUACCUGCAGAAGAAGCACCGGCUAACUACGUGCCAGCACGCCGC